GUUGCUGGGGAGGUAUUUGCUGUUAGCCUUGCCCAGGGUGGCCCAGCUCCAAGAUUUUUACAGAACUGGUGUUACGAUUUUCUGUUGAGUGGAAACCUUGAAAACAUUACCAAGGAGACUGUUUAUGAUGUUGAUAUUUCACCACUAAUUCAAAAGAUCGAGGAAACUUCAGAUUUGUCUUCAUGCACUGAACAGAUAGUCAGCUGUGGUUACACAGGGCCUAUAAAAAUAAAUAACAAGGCGAAUAUAACAAGAGCAAUUGCGAUGCAUGCUGCUGCUCGACGAACUCUAAUGCUUCAGCAGCUAUGUGAGGGUCUACAGCUUUACGGGUUAAUUGAUGUCAUGAGAAAAAACAGAGAAGUGUGCCGUAGCUUAUUUGUAGUUCAUUGUGGUGAUGAUAAGGUGGACUCUCAUUACAUUGUUUCCAAUCUUCACCCAGAAAUGAGUGAGACUGGCACUCUUAAACAUGCCAAAGAGGUGCAAAUCCUAAAUCACUUUCAGGAUUUUCUAAUGGAGCUUGAAGGCAAGUUUAUGUUCAUUCCAGAAUGUUAAUGUUGUAAUUUUAAAGGGAUACUACACCCAAAAAUGAAAAUUCUGUCAGGAAUUACUCCCCCCAAGUUGUUCCAAACCUGUAUAAAAGUCUUUGUUCAGUUAAACACAAAGAAAGAUAUUUGAAAGAAUGUUAGCAACUGGCAUUUCUGGGACAUCACUGACUACCAUAGUAGAAAAAAAUAAAAUGGUAGGCAAAGUGCCACAGAACUGUUUGCUUGCCUACAUUCUUCAAAAUAUCUUAUUUCGUGUUCAACAGAACAAAGUAUAUAAUAUAAAAUAAAAUAUAUAAUAAGUUUUCCUACUAUGGUAGUCAAUGAUGUCCGAGAAAUGCCGGUUUCUAACAAUCUUCCAAAUGUCUUUCUUUAUGUUUAACUGAACAAAGUAAUUUAUACAGGGUGAGUAAGUAUCCCUUUAACUUGUUUUAAUAAAAAGAAUAUAUGUUU